AUUGAACGCUGGCGGCAGGCCUAACACAUGCAAGUCGAACGAGUGGCGGACGGGUGAGUAAUGUCUGGGAAACUGCCUGAUGGAGGGGGAUAACUACUGGAAACGGUAGCUAAUACCGCAUACCAUCGGAUGUGCCCAGAUGGGAUUAGCUAGUAGGUGGGGUAAAGGCUCACCUGGGCGACGAUCCCUAGCUGGUCUGAGAGGAGGACCAGCACAACUGGAGUUGAGACACGGUCCAGAGGCCUACGGGAGGAAGCAGUGGGGAAUAUUGCACAAUGGGGGCAAGCCUGAUGCAGCCAUGCCGCGUGUAUGAAGAAGGCCUUCGGGUUGGAAAGUACUUUCAGCGGGGAGGCGUUACCCGCAGAAGAAGCACCGGCUAACUCCGUGCCAGCAGCCGCGGUAAUUC
rnacentral:rRNA from 1 species